CGGGAGCCUCUGAGCACCUGAUGGAGCACCUGCCGGAAGUCCCGCUCCUCCCUGGCCCCAGGCCCCCACGGAGUUUCUCAGCUUUGUUGAGAUCUACCUGACCCAGGGACUGAACUCAGAUCUCCUGGACUGGCAGGUCACAUUUUCCUGAUUCUCCAUUUGUCUGCGGAUCACUGUGUAUCAGACAUUGUGAAUGGUGUGUUGCUGAGACUCUGGAUUCUUUCCCUGUGAAAAGUAUUGAGUUGAUUCUAGAAGGCAGUUAAAUUACUGGUGGUUCCUCUUUAAACUGCAGAAACUGUGCUUU